AGAGUUCGAUCCUGGCUCAGGAUGAACGCUGGCGGCGCGCCUAACACAUGCAAGUCGAACGGCACCUAUCUUCGGAUAGAAGCGAGUGGCGAACGGCUGAGUAACACGUGGAGAACCUGCCCCCUCCCCCGGGAUAGCCGCCCGAAAGGACGGGUAAUACCGGAUACCCCGGGGUGCCGCAUGGCACCCCGGCUAAAGCCCCGACGGGAGGGGAUGGCUCCGCGGCCCAUCAGGUAGACGGCGGGGUGACGGCCCACCGUGCCGACAACGGGUAGCCGGGUUGAGAGACCGACCGGCCAGAUUGGGACUGAGACACGGCCCAGACUCCUACGGGAGGCAGCAGUGGGGAAUCUUGCGCAAUGGGGGGAACCCUGACGCAGCGACGCCGCGUGCGGGACGGAGGCCUUCGGGUCGUAAACCGCUUUCAGCAGGGAAGAGUCAAGACUGUACCUGCAGAAGAAGCCCCGGCUAACUACGUGCCAGCAGCCGCGGUAAUACGUAGGGGGCGAGCGUUGUCCGGAAUUAUUGGGCGUAAAGGGCGCGUAGACGGCUGUGUAAGUUAUAGGUGAAAGCCCAACUUUCAAGGUUGGAACUGCCUGUAAUACUGCAUGGCUUGAGUGCAGGAGAGGGAAGCGGAAUUCCUAGUGUAGCGGUGAAAUGCGUAGAUAUUAGGAGGAACACCAGUGGCGAAGGCGGCUUACUGGACGGUAACUGACGUUGAGGCUCGAAAGCGUGGGGAGCAAACAGGAUUAGAUACCCUGGUAGUCCACGCCGUAAACGAUGGAUACUAGGUGUGGGGGGUCUGACCCCCUCCGUGCCGCAGUUAACACAAUAAGUAUCCCACCUGGGGAGUACGAUCGCAAGGUUGAAACUCAAAGGAAUUGACGGGGGCCCGCACAAGCGGUGGAGUAUGUGGUUUAAUUCGACGCAACGCGAAGAACCUUACCAAGGCUUGACAUUGAAUGACCGCUCCAGAGAUGGAGCUUUCCCUUCGGGGACAUGAAAACAGGUGGUGCAUGGCUGUCGUCAGCUCGUGUCGUGAGAUGUUGGGUUAAGUCCCGCAACGAGCGCAACCCCCGCCGCGUGUUGCCAUCGGGUGAUGCCGGGAACCCACGCGGGACCGCCGCCGUCAAGGCGGAGGAGGGCGGGGACGACGUCAAGUCAUCAUGCCCCUUAUGCCCUGGGCUGCACACGUGCUACAAUGGCCGGUACAGAGGGAUGCCACCCCGCGAGGGGGAGCGGAUCCCGGAAAGCCGGCCCCAGUUCGGAUUGGGGGCUGCAACCCGCCCCCAUGAAGUCGGAGUUGCUAGUAAUCGCGGAUCAGCAUGCCGCGGUGAAUGCGUUCCCGGGCCUUGUACACACCGCCCGUCACACCACCCGAGUCGUCUGCACCCGAAGUCGCCGGCCCAACCGCAAGGGGGGAGGCGCCGAAGGUGUGGAGGGUGAGGGGGGUGAAGUCGUAACAAGGUAGCCGUACCGGAAGGUGCGGCUG
rnacentral:rRNA from 1 species